rnacentral:rRNA from 1 species
UUUUCUCCCCGCCCUGUCUGAACAUUACCCAUGCUUUUUGCGUACCCAUUGUUUCCUCGGCAGGCUUGCCUGCCAGCAGGACCCCUUUAAAACCUUUUGCAAUUGCAGUCAGCGUCAGAGAAAAAAAACUUAAUAGUUACAACUUUCAACAACGGAUCUCUUGGUUCUGGCAUCGAUGAAGAACGCAGCGAAAUGCGAUAAGUAGUGUGAAUUGCAGAAUUCAGUGAAUCAUCGAAUCUUUGAACGCACAUUGCGCCCCUUGGUAUUCCAUGGGGCAUGCCUGUUCGAGCGUCAUUUGCACCCUCAAGCUUUGCUUGGUGAUGGGUGUUUGUUCCGCUGCAACGCGUGAACUCGCCUCAAAUCAAUUGGCAGCCGGCAAUCUGGUGUUUGAGCGCAGCACAUUUUGCGCUCUUCGCUGUGUAUUGCGGGCGUCCAUGAAGCCUAUAUUUUCGCGCUUGACCUCGGAUCAGGUAGGGAUACCCGCUGAACUUAAGCAUAUCAAUAAGCGGAGGAAAAGAAACCAACAGGGAUUGCCCUAGUAACGGCGAGUGAAGCGGCAACAGCUCAAAUUUGAAAUCUGGCUCUUUUAGAGUCCGAGUUGUAAUUUGCAGAGGGCGCUUUGGCGUUAGCAGCGGUUCAAGUUCCUUGGAACAGGUCGUCACAGA